rnacentral:rRNA from 1 species
AGCGAACGCUGGCGGCAGGCCUAACACAUGCAAGUCGAACGAACCUUUCGGGGUUAGUGGCGGACGGGUGAGUAACACGUGGGAACGUGCCUUUAGGUUCGGAAUAACUCAGGGAAACUUGUGCUAAUACCGAAUGUGCCCUUCGGGGGAAAGAUUUAUCGCCUUUAGAGCGGCCCGCGUCUGAUUAGCUAGUUGGUUGAGGUAAUGGCUCACCAAGGCGACGAUCAGUAGCUGGUCUGAGAGGAUGAUCAGCCACAUUGGGACUGAGACACGGCCCAAACUCCUACGGGAGGCAGCAGUGGGGAAUCUUGCGCAAUGGGCGAAAGCCUGACGCAGCCAUGCCGCGUGAAUGAUGAAGGUCUUAGGAUUGUAAAAUUCUUUCACCGGGGACGAUAGUGACGGUACCCGGAGAAGAAGCCCCGGCUAACUUCGUG